GACGAACGCUGGCGGCGUGCUUAACACAUGCAAGUCGAACGGAAAGGCCCUGCUUUUGUGGGGUUCUCGAGUGGCGCACGGGUGAGUAACCCGGGAGUAACCUGCCCUUGACUUUGGGAUAACUUCAGGAAACUGGGGCUAAUACCGGAUAGGAGCUCCUGCUGCAUGGUGGGGGUUGGAAAGUUUCGGCGGUUGGGGAUGGACUCGCGGCUAAUCAGCUUGUUGGUGGGGUAGUGGCUUACCAAGGCUUCGACGGGUGGCCGGCCUGGGAGCUGGAACGGCGACAAUGGGACUAAGGUAGGGAGCAGACUCGUACGGGAGGCAGCAGUGGGGAGUAUUGCACAGUGGGCGGGAGCGUGAGACAGCGACGCCGCGAGCGGGAUGACCGCCUUCGGGUUGUAAACCGCUUUCGCUUGUGACGAAGCGUGAGUGACGGUAAUGGGUAAAGAAGCACCGGCUAACUACGUG
rnacentral:rRNA from 1 species